rnacentral:tRNA from 1 species
GCCCCCGUAGCUCAGGGGAUAGAGCAGGGCUUUCCUAAAGCCAAGGUCGCAGGUUCGAUUCCUGCCGGGGGCG